rnacentral:rRNA from 1 species
GAUCAUGGCUACGAGGACGAACGCUGGCGGCGUGCUUAACACAUGCAAGUCGAACGAGACGAUUGAAAGCUUGCUUUUGAAAGUCGAGUGGCGAACGGGUGAGUAACGCGUGAGUAACCUGCCCUGGAGUGGGGGACAACAGUUGGAAACGACUGCUAAUACCGCAUAAGCCCACGGAACCGCAUGGUUCUGAGGGAAAAGGAUUUAUUUGCUUCAGGAUGGACUCGCGUCCAAUUAGCUAGUUGGUGAGGUAACGGCCCACCAAGGCGACGAUUGGUAGCCGGACUGAGAGGUUGAACGGCCACAUUGGGACUGAGACACGGCCCAGACUCCUACGGGAGGCAGCAGGUGGGGGAUAUUGCACAAUGGGGGAAACCCUGAUGCAGCGACGCCGCGUGGAGGAAGAAGGUUUUCGGAUUGUAAACUCCUGUCGUUAGGGACGAUAAUGACGGUACCUAACAAGAAAGCACCGGCUAACUACGUG